rnacentral:tRNA from 1 species
GCUCUCGUGAUGUAAAUGGUAGCAUGCCCAGCUAAUACUUGGAAGAUCCUUGGUUCGAAUCCUUACCAGGGCA